ACUGCUGCUGCAGCUGCUGCAGCAGCAGCAGCUGCUGCUGCUGCUGCAGCCGCAGCUGUUGCAGAGGAGAGGAGCGCGGCUGGUACAGGUAAAGGAACUACCAGCAGCCCCACUCG
rnacentral:snoRNA from 1 species